rnacentral:rRNA from 1 species
AGAUUGAACGCUGGCGGCAGGCCUAACACAUGCAAGUCGAGCGGCAGCACGGGUACUUGUACCUGGUGGCGAGCGGCGGACGGGUGAGUAAUGCCUAGGAAUCUGCCUGGUAGUGGGGGAUAACGCUCGGAAACGGACGCUAAUACCGCAUACGUCCUACGGGAGAAAGCAGGGGACCUUCGGGCCUUGCGCUAUCAGAUGAGCCUAGGUCGGAUUAGCUAGUUGGUGAGGUAAUGGCUCACCAAGGCGACGAUCCGUAACUGGUCUGAGAGGAUGAUCAGUCACACUGGAACUGAGACACGGUCCAGACUCCUACGGGAGGCAGCAGUGGGAAUAUUGGACAAUGGGCGAAAGCCUGAUCCAGCCAUGCCGCGUGUGUGAAGAAGGUCUUCGGAUUGUAAAGCACUUUAAGUUGGAGAAGGCAGUUACCUAAUACGUAUCUGUUUUGACGUUACCGACAGAAUAAGCAACCGGCUAAACUCUGUG